rnacentral:rRNA from 1 species
UUGGAGGGCAAGUCUGGUGCCAGCAGCCGCGGUAAUUCCAGCUCCAAUAGCGUAUAUUAAAGUUGUUGCAGUUAAAAAGCUCGUAGUUGAAUUUCGGGAUUGACACAUCGGUCGUGCCUUAAGGGGUAUGAACUGGUGUAGUCAGUUUCUCACCUUCUGGAGAACCGCGAUGUCCUUAAUUGGGUGCCGCGAGGAACCAGGACCUUUACUUUGAAAAAAUUAGAGUGUUUAAAGCAGGCAUUUUGCUUGAAUACAUUAGCAUGGAAUAAUAAAAUAGGACGGAUGGUUCUAUUUUGUUGGUUUCUAGGAUCACCGUAAUGAUUAAUAGGGAUAGUUGGGGGCAUUAGUAUUCAAUUGUCAGAGGUGAAAUUCUUGGAUUUAUUGAAGACUAACUACUGCGAAAGCAUUUGCCAAGGAUGUUUUCAUUAAUCAAGAACGAAAGUUAGGGGAUCGAAGACGAUCAGAUACCGUCGUAGUCUUAACCAUAAGCUAUGCCGACUAGGAAUCAGACGAUGUUAAUUUUCUAAUGACUCGUUUGGCACCUUACGGGAAACCAAAGUGUUUGGGUUC